rnacentral:lncRNA from 1 species
AAAACUCAAUGUGUUUUUAGAAAAGAGUGGCAAAUGUUUCCAAAGCAUUAUAAAUCGAGUUCACCAUUUGGAUGGCAUUGAUUUAUAUUAAGAAUUCUACUCAAUAGUAGUUUGGAAUGCAAGGCAAAGAAAUCUGACCUCUAGCUGUAUGAAAUCAAAAGAGACAUACACCAUCUCCAAAGUGUUCUGUCUCUGUGCAGAUGAGGCUAAAAGCCACAUCACCAAGCCUAUUCUCACACCACCUGCCAUUGCUGACUAAUCGUGCAAACCAAUACCUGGAGAGCCACGUGUCCUGCCUCUCAAAUGCCUCAGAUGUAUCUGCUGCCCUCAUUAGCACUGCUGUAACCCCAGGCCAGAGCUCAAAGCCUCCACCUGGUAGCAUCAGGUUGUUUUCUGGCUGUGGUGUGGUUUCUGAUCAGCAUCAAUCAGCAUCACCUGGGAACUUGUCAGAAACACAGAUUCUCGGCCCUACCACAAAUCUAAUGAAUCAGAAAUUCGGAGGGUAGGGCUCAGCGAUCUGUGCUCCAACCAGCCCCUGCACGUGAUUCUAAGGCAUGCUGAGAUUUGAGAAUCAUGGCUCUAGGCUCACUCCCUCUAACUUAGAACUCGCAAUCCUGAUGCCUAUUAGAGUCACCUGCAGUACUUAACACACCAGACCAAUUAAACUGAUUAAGUCUAGGCAGGAAAUUAAAAAACUCCCCAGGUGAUUCUACAGCCAGGGUGGAUAACUAACAUUAACUGAUCAUCAUAGCUUAAAUGAAAGUAUCAAUUACACACUCCUGUUGCUCUUUUCAGAAACCAUGAUGGUUUCUGGCUUUCUACUGCUCAAGUUCAAAGUGAGCUUUCUAAAGAAUCCUCAAAUAUAGAUCAGGAGAAAACCUGACUACAUCUGGGGACUGCUUUGUCUGGGGACAGACAAAGCAGACUGGGGAUGCUCAGACAGACUGGGUGGGGGAAAGGACAGCUCUUUU